rnacentral:lncRNA from 1 species
UGAAAUUUAGUAACCCUUAAAACACAUGGCUGCUCCCAUGGCAUUACUCUUGCCUCUUUUUUGUGCAGCUACUCUCUUGCUCCCCUGUACGACAGCUGCGGCUGCUCCCUUGCUCGCCCUUAGUCUCACGCCGACAGUGGAACACACAUGGCUGCUCCUAUGUCCCUGCUCUCGCCUCGCCUCACCGCUUGCUCCCCCGCGCGGUUGGUCCCUUGCUUGCCCUCAGCCUCACGCCAACGGUGGACAGCCGACUGACGCCUCCAUUGCUCAGUUGCUCCUUACCACCCACAAGCGGUUGAACCUCACCACCCACAGCCACAAGCGACUGAAAUAAGCCCCUGCUCGACUGCACUCAUAAACGGCCGAAAUCAGAAACCCACAAGGUGAGCCAACUACCAAGCCCACGCCAAUUACUUUCCAACAAUCAAUAUUCAUAGUUUUAGUGAAUUAAUAUGUAAAAGCAUAAAUUUAGUGAAAAAUCAUGGCUGGACCUUUACAAAAUAGUUUAAUUUCAUAUUUGCUUUAAUUAUUUUAAUUAAGUUUUUGAUUUAAUUACUUUAAUUUUUUAAUUAUUGAAUCUUAAUUUUGCGGAUCCGAAUAUUCAAAACAUCUGCCGGCAUCUGUUACAAAUAUUAUCCGCAUCUGGAUCCGUAUAUUUUUUUACGGAUCUGGAUAUGGAUCCGAAUAUAAAAAUAUAAAUGCAGAUCCGGAUUUAGAUUUUGCCAUCCACCGGUAUUAUUUUACAAACUCAAGAUCGUCCCGUGUCUAAAUGAAGUUUUUGUCAUUAUUCGACUCGCGGUGUUCACGCACUUUGCUCAUCGUAACUGGACAGAUUUGGGAGGAAAGAAGAUGCUUCAACUUUGAGGAUGCUGCUCAAGUGACUAGAGCCACUCCCUCACAAUUGUGAGGGAAGUGGUUCGAGCCCUCGCAAACGCAUUGCGUUGGUUUAAUUUAAAUGUCCUUCCUUGGAGCCCCAGAGUUUGAGUAAAGGCAGUCUUUCUUCCAGAAUGAGAGUUGGGCGUCCCUUGAAUAUUUGAGAGGGUUAAAAAUCUAAGCGGUACCAUAUCAAAAUUAAUAUAAAUAAAUUUUAAUAAUUUAUAUGGUGUAAAUAUUAUGAGUAAUAGUUCUCUUUAAAAAAAAAAAUUUCGAGGAUGCUUUUGCAAUGUAAAUGUCUUAAUGGCCCGAAUCUCAGAUGGGGCUGGGACCCUUCUUAGGAGUCCGGCCCGUCCGGGGCAAGCAAACAAAAAGAUUAGCCAACCCAAAGCGGUUGCUCGAGGCGUGAGGCAAACAAGUCAUCCCACAAGGUGACACGUGCAACAUGUCUGACAAGCGUGUACUCUCCACAUUCCCCUCAGUCUUACCAGAUUCACCUUUGACAUUCGUACACAUUCUUAAG